CAGUUUUUUUAUAAAUUGCUUUUUAAUACAAGCUAUUGAUAUAGUGCUCUGUAAUUCAUAAUGGCUCAGAGAUGUGUAUUGGAGGGUGUCAUGUAUGAAUAUCAGAAACUUGAAAAAAUGUUUUGUCUGUUUUCUUAUAAUGCCACCAUGGAGACCAAGCAAGAGUGCAUUCUCAAGGGGCUAUGCAUCUACCUAAAUGAAGAUGAAUAUGAUGGAGUAUUUGGAUGAUGACCCUGCAAGAACCGAAGCGGACAUAAAGAAGACCUUUUAGGGAUUCUGUGAUGUAAAGCAUGAAUUUGCUGAUGCAACAGAAGACCCCGAAGAUAUCUGCAUUGUGCUGGAAGAUGUGGAGGUGCUUUCUGGUUUAGGUAAUGUAGCAUUGGCUACAGCCAUGCUACUUGGACUAAUAUACUCUUUAAAUCUUACUCAUCCACAGGAGAUCCACUACACUUUUAAGGUGCUCCAAAAAAUGAUUCUCGAGCUGAACUUGUGUAAAUUGUCUGCCAAAGCACAGGCGCAGAAAACAAAGCUCUUCACUUAGGUGUGCUGUGUUUGAGGAUCCCUUUGUGAAUGCUGUUUUAUUUCUUUGUAUGCUCAUGUGAUUUUGUUGUAUCUGAAUUUUUGCACGAUGAGCAGAGGUGAUUACGUCUCUCAAUCACAUUUAAUAUCAUGUUUAAGAAAACAAAAUAAAAUAACAUUUUGUUAUAUCCU